rnacentral:rRNA from 1 species
UACGGGGGGGGCAAGCGUUGUUCGGAAUUACUGGGCGUAAAGGGCUCGUAGGCGGCCAACUAAGUCAGACGUGAAAUCCCCAGGCUUAACCUGGGAACUGCGUCUGAUACUGGUUGGCUUGAAUUCGGGAGAGGGAUGCAGAAUUCCAGGUGUAGCGGUGAAAUGCGUAGAUAUCUGGAGGAAUACCGGUGGCGAAGGCGGCAUCCUGGACCGAGAUUGACACUGAGGAGCGAAAGCCAGGGGAGCAAACAGG